ACUAGAAUCUGCUACAUAAGCAAUUGGGCCCAUGCCCCAAAAACGAUAAUACAAUAUCUUCUAGUA
rnacentral:tRNA from 1 species